rnacentral:SRP_RNA from 1 species
GCCGCGGGCGGUGGCGCAUGCCUGUAGUCCCAGCUACUCGGGAGGCUGAGGUGGGAGGAUCACUUGAGCCCAGGAGUUCUGGGCUGUAGUACACUAUGCUGAUCGGGUGUCCGCACUAAGUUCGGCAUCAAUAUGGUGACCUCCCAGGAGCGGGGAACCACCAGGUUGCCUAAGGAGGGGUGAACCGGCCCAGGUCAGAAACAGAGCAGGUCAAAACUCCUGUGCUGAUCAGUAGUGGGAUCACGCCUGUGAAUAGCCACUGCACUCCAGCCUGGGCAACAUAGCGAGACCCUGUCUCU